UAAUCUGGUUGAUCCUGCCAGUAGUCAUAUGCUUGUCUCAAAGACUAAGCCAUGCAUGUCUAAGUAUAAGCGAUUUAUAGUGAAACUGCGAAUGGCUCAUUAAAACAGUUACAGUUUAUUUGAUAAUCGAAUUUUACAUGGAUAACCGUGGUAAUUCUAGAGCUAAUACAUGCUGUUAAGCCCAACUUUUCGGAAGGGCUGUAUUUAUUAGAUACAAACCAAUAUUCCUUCGGGUCUAUUGUGAUGAUUCAAUAUAACUGAUCGAAUCGCAUGGUCUUGCACCGCGAUAAAUCAUUCAAGUUUCUGCCCCAUCAGCUUUCGAUGGUAGUGUAUUGGACUACCAUGGCUUUCACGGGUAACGGAGGAUUAGGGUUCGAUUCCGGAGAGGGAGCCUGAGAAACGGCUACCACAUCUAAGGAAGGCAGCAGGCGCGUAAAUUACCCAAUCCUGACUCAGGGAGGUAGUGACAAGAAAUAACAGACCGGAGCCUCUGGUUCCGGGAUUGCAAUGAGUACAAUUUAGACUCCUUAACAAGUAACAAUUGGAGGGCAAGUCUGGUGCCAGCAGCCGCGGUAAUUCCAGCUCCAAUAGCGUAUAUUAAAGUUGUUGCAGUUAAAAAGCUCGUAGUUGGAUUUCUGUGAGAGUGCCGGUGUCGGCUGAUGCUUGUACGCAGGCGCUCUUACAUCCUUCUGUUAACUGAUCUUGGCAUUUAUUUGCUGGUUCAGGGCUCAGAUAUUUUACCUUGAGAAAAUUAGAGUGUUUCAGGCAGGCUUAUGCCGGAAUACAUUAGCAUGGAAUAAUGGAACAGGACCUGUGCGUCUCUCGGGGCGCCGGUCUCCGUUGUUGGUUUCGGGGACUAAUGUAAUGAUUAAUAGG
rnacentral:rRNA from 1 species